GUCUGUUAUUAAGGUGGGCAUACACUGCACCCAUCAUGAGAUCAGCCAGUCAGUGGCUCAAAUAUAAUUGCUAUAGAUUUGGAAAGGAUUCUGUCUCAUUAACACUUUCAUGUCUUUUUUUUUUAGGCUCUGAAUGUGGAGGUGCAAACACUGUCCUGAAAGUGAAUCUACAAGGAAAGCACUUAUAUUGGAGGUGAAAAAGAAGAACAACCAACAGCUAAUCAAAAGUAAAAUGGAAAGAACCUUUGCCUAUAGAAGACAGGAAGUCGUUAAAGAUAUGCCCUUCAUAGCAGAGUUCAAAAACAGAUGGCCAGCCCUGUUUUCUGAGAGCCAGGUAAAUGCAGAAUUCACCCUCAUCACCACAGUCCCCCUGUUCUCAACCUUUAUGUCCCGACUGGAUCAUUACUAUAGCCAGCUAUUGAGGGUAUUCAAAAAGAAGGGGGGAACAGCAAGACGUGAUAUCGACGUAAUCAUUGCAGAAAUGGACAUGGUAUGUGUUUUGGAAUCCCAGUGUUGAAGUACGACGGACAUGCAUCCUAAAGGCGUUGUGCGUCUACUUAAAUUAAAAGCCUGACAGCUUUAUUAAGGAGUACUGGGCUAUUGAGGAUAUUGGUAUUGAUGCAAUGACGGAAAUGGAGAGACUGGCUUUGGGUGUCUACAUUGUUCGACAUGAUGGAGCAGAUGCUUCAGAUCCACCUGAGGAUGUUGGCGUCAUCAUUGAAGGCUGCACAGUGCUGCGAGAUCUGAGAGAGGUUGCAAAUGGAUGUGCAGUCCUGUUUGGCUUGAUCUACUGUUUAAACUUGAGCUAUCCCAAGGAGCUGCGAUACACUUUCGAAUUUCUUCAGAAAGUGUUUAUGGAAUUGGAUGGGAACAAGCUCUCCACUAAAGUGCAGGUCCUCAAAAACAAACUGCAUGAGUAAAAUCACCUGCACCAGACAAGACUGGACCUGGCUUUGGACACUUUAAUUGUGUUGACUGUUACUUUAAUUUUGGACUGCUGCUAGACAAAAUAAAGCUGUGAUCAAUGAUGGUUUGUAAUAAGCAGACAGGACUGCAGUUGGUCAUCGACUUGCUUGGGGAGGCUCAGUUCUUUGGAUUUUGCACUGCUGCUAGACAAAACAUCUAGCAAUCUAAAGACAAUGUUGGUUGUGGUAAUUGGCAUUUAAACUUCUCUUGUUUUCUGAUUUCUUCAGAAUCAAAAGAUAUGAAAUACAACAAACACUGGUUUGUUAUAAUGAAACCAUCUCAAACAAUUUAAAGUGAAGAUUUUUUUUGUUACGUAAACAUUGCUGAUUUUCUAUUUCUCCUGUUGAUGCAAACUAUAAACCUUGUAUUUUUCAUAAAAAUGUUCUAGAU